rnacentral:rRNA from 1 species
UGCCAGCCGCCGCGGUAAUACGGAGGGUGCAAGCGUUGUUCGGAAUCACUGGGCGUAAAGCGCGUGUAGGCGGCUUGGAAAGUCGGAUGUGAAAGCCCGAGGCUCAACCUCGGAACUGCAUUCGAAACUUCCAGGCUAGAGUCCUGGAGAGGAUGGUGGAAUUCCCAGUGUAGAGGUGAAAUUCGUAGAUAUUGGGAGGAACACCAGUGGCGAAGGCGGCCAUCUGGACAGUGACUGACGCUGAGACGCGAAAGCGUGGGGAGCAAACAGGAUUAGAUA